rnacentral:tRNA from 1 species
GGAGUUGUAGCACAGUGGGUUAAGCCUCAGCCUGCUAUGCUGGCAUCCUGUCAGGGCAUGGGUUUGAAUCCCAUUUGCUCUG